ensembl:lncRNA
UUCUUUGUAAACAUGAUUUCCUUAUGAAAACACAGUGUUUCUGUUAUAUAUAAUUCAGAUACAUUUACAUACAAAUACUUAAAUACUUUUCUUCCAAUCAAGGACGGUUAUUUGGGUAAUUAAUUUUAAUAAGAUUUAUAUAUUUUGCUGUUGAAAUAAUUGCUACAAGUAGCUGAAUAUGCCCACGUUUCCACUCAGAAUUUUGAGUAAGUUUAGAACAUAUGGAUUCUUGAGGUAUUCCUGAAGUCCUCAACUUCUGAUUGAUUGUAAGAUUUAUGCUCAUGUUUUAAAGCAACGAUGAGGGAAAAAAAAACUUUCUUUUUUUGUUGUUGUUGAUUACAACAUGAUGGUAGUAAUGUAUUCAAAUAUUUAUCUUUUCUAAAAAUUUAAACAUAAUUAUCACAUAAAUGAGAAAAAUAUUGAAUAGGAUUUACUUGUAAGUCGGUGCAGGGUAAAACGUUGGGUUUUGUAGCAUGAUGUACUGAAGUUGCACCUCUGUUACUCAAAUAAAUAGCACUUAAUUAUAUCCUAUUUUUUUUUUCUAUGAUUUAAAUCCUUGGUCACUAAAUUAGCAAAUCACAACUUAAGUUGGAGAAUAUGUCUAAAAAUGUCACAAGGAAGUUGCUGCUCAGUAUGGAGCUAAUGAAGAAGAAAUGGACAAGUGUUCAACAACUUCAGCAAGAUCAUUGACAUGGUCUUUUCUAAUCUUGCCAGUUUCCUUGAACGUGUCACACAUUAGGUAUGUCUUUAGUUACUCUGCUUAAUUUUAAAACUUUAUUUUAAAGUAGUUCUUGUAAAAUGGUAAUAUCAUUUUUGAUAAUUUAUAUAUUUUAAAGGGACUGAAGUUCUCAUGGCAACAUUCAAUCAAAAUCAGGCACUUUUAUUCAUUUUUCUCUUUAAUCUUCAUUUACCAUUUAAAUGAAUUUAGAAAUAUUCUUGGAUACUGAAUGACUUCUAGAUUAUUCUAUUAUGCAAAAAACAAAAAGCUAAAAUAAAAUGUUUCAUCUGUUGGGAUGAAAUGAAGUAUCUGAUAAUGUGUGAUUCAUGAAUCCAGAAUUUGCUGCCAGUGGAAGUUUUGGAGGCAUAAGAAAUAAAGAUUUGGCUUUAGAAUUCUUUAUUCAGGUCAAGACCUGAAUGCUUGCAAAAUUUCUUCAGAAUUCAAUGUCACAUUUUUUUAUGUGUUAUAAUUUCCAUUAUGUUUACCUUUAACCUUUCAUGAAAGAGUAUUAUAAGUGAGAGGCAUACAAAACACAAUUCUCUUCCAAAAGAAAUAUCACUACAGCUUAACAAAUAUCAGAUGAACAUGUUUCAUAUUCAGGCAGUGUUUGGCUGUAUGUUCUGCUGCUCUUAGGCCUAAGUCUGGAUGACAUCCCAUAUGUUAAAAUAUUAAUUAAAUGAAGGCAGUCAUAGGACUAAUAAUGUAAAUCACAAUUUCUUCCUAUAUUUCCGUAAUUAUAUGAAGACACAUUAAAUAAAUCAAUUAAAAAU